AACGCACCUUGCGCUCCUUGGCAUUCCGAGGAGCAUGCCUGUUUGAGUGUCAUGAAAUUCUCAACUGCCUUUUAGCAUUUAUGUUAAGGUGAAGUUGGAGUUGGAGGAUAACUGCUGGCGCAACUUAGGUUGCUUGUUGGCUCCUCUUAAAUGGAUAAGCUUUUCUGAUAGAUUAUAGCUCAGUAAUAUUAAUGUGAUAAUGAUCUACAUUAUAUGUGAAAGCUAUAAGUAGAAUUUAUGGAGAAGCUCUCUAUAGAAAGGGUAUAAUAACUUGACAAAUCUGACCUCAAAUCAGGUAGGACUACCCGCUGAACUUAA
rnacentral:misc_RNA from 1 species